AUGAAAGUACUGAACUCAAUAUGCCAGCAAAUUUGGAAAACUCAGCAGUGGCCACAGGACUGGAAAAGGUCAGUUUUCAUUCCAAUCCCAAAGAAAGGCAAUGCCAAAGAAUGCUCAAACUACCAAACAAUUGCGCUCAUCUCACAUGCUAGUAAAGUAAUGCUCAAAAUUCUCCAAGCCAGGCUUCAGCAAUACGUGAACCGUGAACUUCCAGACGCUCAAGAUGAUUUUGGAAGAGGCAGAGGAACCAGAGAUCAAAUUGCCAACAUCCCCUGGAUCAUCAAAAAAGCAAAAGAGUUCCAGAAAAACAUCUAUUUCUGCUUUAUUGACUAUGCCAAAGCCCUCGACUGUGUGGAUCACAAUAAACUGUGGAAAAUUUUGAAAGAGAUGGGAAUACCACACCACCUGACCUGCCUCUUGAGAAACCUAUAUGCAGGUCAGGAAGCAACAGUUAGAACUGAACAUGGAACAACAGACUGGUUCCAAAUAGGAAAAGGAGUACAUCAAGGCUGUAUGUUGUCACCCUGCUUAUUUAACUUCUAUGCAGAGUACAUCAUGAGAAACACUGGGCUGGAAGAAGCACCAGCUGGAAUCAAGAUUGCUGGGAGAAAUAUUAAUAACCUCAGAUAUGAAAAUGACACCAUCCUUAUGGCAGAAAGUGAAGAGGAACUAAAAAGCUUCUUGAUGAAAGUGAAACAGAAGUGUGAAAAAGUUGGCUUAAAGCUCAACAGUCAGAAAGCGAAGAUCAUGGCAUCUGGUCCCAUCAAUUCAUGGGAAAUAGAGGGGGAAACAGUGGAAACAGUGUCAGACUUUAUUUUGGGGGGCUCCAAAAUCACUGCAGAUGGUGAUUGCAGCCAUGAAAUUAAAAGACGCUUACUCCUUGGAUGGAAAGUUAUGACCAACCUAGAUAGCAUAUUCAAAAGCAGAGACAUUACUUUGCCAACAAAGGUCCAUCUAGUCAAGGCUAUGGUUUUUCCUGUGGUCAUGUAUGGAUGUGAGAGUUGGACUGUGAAGAAAGCUGAGCACCGAAGAAUUGAUGCUUUUGAACUGAGGUGUUGGUGA
rnacentral:lncRNA from 1 species